UUCCUACGGGACGCAGCAGUGGGGAAUAUUGCACAAUGGGGGGAACCCUGAUGCAGCGACGCCGCGUGAGGGAUGAAGGUUUUCGGAUCGUAAACCUCUGUCAGGAGGGAAGAAAGCGCAUGGCGCCAAUCAGCCAUGCGUUGACGGUACCUCCAAAGGAAGCGCCGGCUAACUCCGUGCCAGCAGCCGCGGUAAUACGGAGGGCGCGAGCGUUAAUCGGAAUUACUGGGCGUAAAGCGCGCGUAGGCUGUUGUGUAAGUUGGGGGGGAAAUCCCACGGCUCAACCGUGGAACAGCCCUUGAUAC
rnacentral:rRNA from 1 species